UGUCAGCAUGACACCAUAAAAACCAGAAAAUGUUGGGCGGCCCCUCCCCAAACAAUAGUCCUGCAUGGUGGACCUAAACAAAGGAACAAUGGAUCUCACUUCCUUGCUGGAUCAGCGUUUAUUGUCUGACUGUGCAUCCUCAUCCUUCCUGUACUUCACAUCCACCAGCAGUUGUGUCUCAAGGUAAUAAAGAACGAAGCACAGUGGGAUGGAGGAACUCCUGGUAGCCGGGAGGCAAUGGUGGGCACAGCUUAACACAACGGAUUUCUUGGCUGAGGAAGACUGCCUCCUGCCAAAAUAGCGAUGUAUUUCAAGCUAAGGGACACCACAGGAAGCAUUUCAUGUUCUGAUCUCUCUGUUGUUGUAAUCCGCUUGUGUGCAAAAAGGCUGAAACUAACUCAGUGACUCAUGCCUUAAUGAAGCUGUCAGUGCUGGCAUGAAUGUAAACUCCAGCACAGUUUUGUAUGUUAACUGAACCCCUCAUAAAUUUGGCAGUCCUUCUUAGAAUGUGUGAUUACCUCCGUCAGCUGUCACUGCAGCUUUUUCUUGCAAAACUAAUUUGGACAAUUUCAAACUGAUCCUGAGGUGGCUGAUGUAGUUCAGUAACUAUAUAUUAUCACUUCUGCUAUCUUUGUAGAAGAUGGAUGAUCCCACAGAGAAUUAUCAACUUAGCUUUGAGAAUAGCAAGUGACUGGGUGGUAAAGGAAGAUGAAAACUAUGUUGGGAAAAAGCUGAAGCUACAGUUGGCAAGCUAGAUGCAUUUGAAUUAUUGUUGGGGAAUUAUUUAUUGGAAAUGCUAAUUGGGUAUACUUACCUGCCAGGUUAGAUUAAAGCAAUAAGCAAAGAGAGAAACUGUGUUUACUUUGAUUUUCGCAAAGUUUAAAGGCAUUGAAAAAUCCAUACAAAGCGGCUUUCAUGAAAUAUCCCACAGUGAACGAGAGAAAACACAUAUUGUCGUUGUUUCUUUGAAAUUUAUUUAAUGAAUAGAGAGCCCUCUUGUGAAGUGGUGACCUGUCCAGAGAGGUUUUCAUGCCUUCUCGGUUGUGCAUGCUGGGAGUAGCCACAAGCAUUUUUUUUUUC